rnacentral:lncRNA from 1 species
AGCACACUUGUUUCAGAUCUUUCUUCUCCUAGCUGACUUGCUUCAGCUCCUUCUUAUGAGAUUUGAGAGCUCUGGCUGUGUAUGUGUAUGAGAAGCCAUUAGAGGCAAAGAAUAAGGUCUUGAACUAGUUGAAUAAGAGGUCUGACGAAACUAGUAUGAACUUGAAUCAGAAACAAAGAGACUUUGAGAGAUUAAGAGAUUAGAGACUAAGAAAGGGGUAGAUUAAGGGAAUCUGAUCAAGAACACACUUUUAUAAUUAUGAAGGAGAUGGGAAAACCCCC